GAUGAACGCUGGCGGCGUGCCUAAUACAUGCAAGUCGAGCGACCAGACGAGGAGCUUGCUCCUCUGACGUUAGCGGCGGACGGGUGAGUAACACGUGGAUAACCUACCUAUCCUACUGGGCUAACUUCGGGAAACCGGAGCUAACACCGGAUAAUAUAUUGAACUGCACGGUUCCCUAGUGAAAGACGGUUUUGCUGUCACUUAUAGAUGGAUCCGCGCCGCAUUAGCUAGGUGGUAAGGUAACGGCUUACCAAGGCAACGAUGCGUUGGCGACCUGAUAGGAGGGUCAGCCACACUGGAACUGAAACGCGGUCCGGACUAGUACGGGAGGCAGCGGUAGGGAAUGUAACGCAGGGGGCGGAAGGCUGGCGGGACAACGCCACGUGAGGUAUGAGAGGCUGCGGAUCGUAGAACUCUGUUAUUAUUAAGGAACGAAAAUGUAAGUAACUAGUCACGUCUUGACGGUACCUAAUCAGAAAGCCACGGCUAACUACGUG
rnacentral:rRNA from 1 species